AAUGGGCGCAAGCCUGAUCCAGCCAUGCCGCGUGAGUGAUGAAGGCCUUAGGGUUGUAAAGCUCUUUCACCCACGACGAUGAUGACGGUAGUGGGAGAAGAAGCCCCGGCUAACUUCGUGCCAGCAGCCGCGGUAAUACGAAGGGGGCUAGCGUUGUUCGGAAUUACUGGGCGUAAAGCGCACGCAGGCGGUUCGGUCAGUCAGAAGUGAAAGCCCCGGGCUUAACCUGGGAACUGCUUUUGAUACUGCCGAGCUUGAAUCACGGAGAGGGUAGUGGAAUUCCGAGUGUAGAGGUGAAAUUCGUAGAUAUUCGGAAGAACACCAGUGGCGAAGGCGACUACCUGGCCGUCGAUUGACGCUCAUGUGCGAAAGCGUGGGGAGCAAA
rnacentral:rRNA from 1 species